GGGGGAGCGCAGGAUCCUGGGCUGUGUCCCCCGGUGCCCUGGGAUCUGGGGCCUGCGCUACUGGAGUCGCUCCCCGGACCAUGCAGCCCCUU
rnacentral:pre_miRNA from 1 species